rnacentral:rRNA from 1 species
GACGAACGCUGGCGGCGUGCUUAACACAUGCAAGUCGAACGGAAAGGCCCUGCUUUUGUGGGGUGCUCGAGUGGCGAACGGGUGAGUAACACGUGAGUAACCUGCCCUUGACUUUGGGAUAACUUCAGGAAACUGGGGCUAAUACCGGAUAGGAGCUCCUGCUGCAUGGUGGGGGUUGGAAAGUUUCGGCGGUUGGGGAUGGACUCGCGGCUUAUCAGCUUGUUGGUGGGGUAGUGGCUUACCAAGGCUUUGACGGGUAGCCGGCCUGAGAGGGUGACCGGCCACAUUGGGACUGAGAUACGGCCCAGACUCCUACGGGAGGCAGCAGUGGGGAAUAUUGCACAAUGGGCGGAAGCCUGAUGCAGCAACGCCGCGUGCGGGAUGACGGCCUUCGGGUUGUAAACCGCUUUCGCCUGUGACGAAGCGUGAGUGACGGUAAUGGGUAAAGAAGCACCGGCUAACUACGUGCCAGCAGCCGCGGUGAUACGUAGGGUGCGAGCGUUGUCCGGAUUUAUUGGGCGUAAAGGGCUCGUAGGUGGUUGAUCGCGUCGGAAGUGUAAUCUUGGGACUUAACCCUGAGCGUGCUUUCGAUACGGGUUGACUUGAGGAAGGUAGGGGAGAAUGGAAUUCCUGGUGGAGCGGUGGAAUGCGCAGAUAUCAGGAGGAACACCAGUGGCGAAGGCGGUUCUCUGGGCCUUUCCUGACGCUGAGGAGCGAAAGCGUGGGGAGCGAACAGGCUUAGAUACCCUGGUAGUCCACGCUGUAAACGGUGGGUACUAGGUGUGGGGUCCAUUCCACGGGUUCCGUGCCGUAGCUAACGCUUUAAGUACCCCGCCUGGGGAGUACGGCCGCAAGGCUAAAACUCAAAGGAAUUGACGGGGCCCCGCACAAGCGGCGGAGCAUGCGGAUUAAUUCGAUGCAACGCGUAGAACCUUACCUGGGUUUGACAUGGAUCGGGAGUGCUCAGAGAUGGGUGUGCCUCUUUUGGGGUCGGUUCACAGGUGGUGCAUGGCUGUCGUCAGCUCGUGUCGUGAGAUGUUGGGUUAAGUCCCGCAACGAGCGCAACCCUUGUUCACUGUUGCCAGCACGUUAUGGUGGGGACUCAGUGGAGACCGCCGGGGUCAACUCGGAGGAAGGUGGGGAUGACGUCAAGUCAUCAUGCCCCUUAUGUCCAGGGCUUCACGCAUGCUACAAUGGCUGGUACAGAGAGUGGCGAGCCUGUGAGGGUGAGCGAAUCUCGGAAAGCCGGUCUCAGUUCGGAUUGGGGUCUGCAACUCGACCUCAUGAAGUCGGAGUCGCUAGUAAUCGCAGAUCAGCAACGCUGCGGUGAAUACGUUCCCGGGGCU